UACGUGGGGACCGAGCGUUGUCCGGAAUCAUUGGGCGUAAAGAGCGUGUAGGCGGCCUGUUAAGUCUUGCGUGAAAUCUCGGGGCUCAACCCCGAGCGGUCGUGAGAAACUGGCAGGCUAGAGUGCGGGAGAGGAGAGUGGAAUUCCUGGUGUAGCGGUGAAAUGCGCAGAUAUCAGGAGGAACACCGAUGGCGAAGGCAGGUCUCUGGGCCACUACUGACGCUGAGAAGCGAAAGCAUGGGGGAGCGAACAGG
rnacentral:rRNA from 1 species